rnacentral:rRNA from 1 species
UACGGGGGGGGCAAGCGUUGUUCGGAAUUACUGGGCGUAAAGGGCGUGUAGGUGGCCAACUAAGUCCGACGUGAAAUCCCCAGGCUUAACCUGGGAACUGCGUCGGAUACUGGAUGGCUUGAAUUCGGGAGAGGGAUGCAGAAUUCCAGGUGUAGCGGUGAAAUGCGUAGAUAUGUCACAGAACACCAAUUGCGAAGGCAGCUUACUAUGGUUUUAUUGACACUGAGGCACGAAAGCGUGGGGAUCAAACAGG